rnacentral:piRNA from 1 species
UAACGAUUUCAAUGAAAGUAC